ensembl:lncRNA
UUUUAAAUUAUGUGAGAGGCAGUAUGGUGCAGUGGAAAGAGAUCUAUCAGAGCCAGGAAGCAAGGUCCUGCCUCUGGCACAAACUGACUGUGUGAUCCUGGGCAUAUCACUUAGCUUUACCCAUCUAGUGUCUUAGCAGAGAGGUAGGGGGUAGCUAUACUUUGGCAUAUACCUUAAUAUAGGGUAUGAAAUCCUCAUCUGGUAAUGGUAAUAUAUUCCUACAAAAUAGUAGAUUGAGAAAAGAGGGCUUAAAGGAAAAUACCUUAAACUUCUGUCACUUUAACAGGAUAAUUUGUUGCCACUUUGGAAAGAUUAACAGAUCUCUUAGGAAAUUGAGACACAGAAUAGAUAGGUUUUGAUGUGAGGGAGAGGAAAAUUGCAGAACUGUGUGAUUGUAUGGAUAACUAUUUUGGGUGGAGCCUGGAUACGAGACAUAUAGGGAAAUAAAGUCACACUUAAUUGUCUCUACUAUUUUGCCUUCUAUCAUAUAGAUAAGCCAUCCCCCAAUUCGGUUUUCUGGGAAUGUGUUUUUCUAAGCUGCUGGAAUCCUAGGGUUCUUUCACUCUUGCCAGAUUGUGGGUAGCAGAUGUGAACUGAUUAUGAUUUGUUAUCUGCUUAAAAGGGAAGGAUUUCUUUCCAGGUGUCUACUUGGAGAAGGAAGAGUUUUACAGUGAGUUACUGAUUAUUCGUAUUUUUGACAAUUGAUCAAAAAUAUCUUUAAUUCUACAGAGAUGAUCAUGAAACCUGGGGAGCAGGGGAAGGGAGGGAGUUUGCAAUUUCAGGAAAAUCAGAAGACCUUUUUAUUUUAAAAUGUUGUCCCCUUCCCACUCCAACCCUUUUGAGCCCAUUCCCACUGCAAAGGCCAGAGGUUUGCAUUGGCCCUGAUAUUGGUUAUACACACCCUAACUGUUGCUAUGGUGAUCUUUUGGCCUCGGGGAUGAGGUUCCAGUCAGUUCAUCCUAUGAAAACAUAAUUCUCCCUGAAGCAUCUCUUCUCCCCCCCCCCCCCCCCCCCCAGUUCCAGCACAUAACGCAAUUCUGCUCUCCCCAUCCCUCCAUUCUGUCCCCCGCCACCUCACUCCUUGAAUUUUCCAUCUGCCCUCUAUUAUUUGUUUUCUCCUUGUCAAUCUUUCUUUGGAUGGAUUUCUGUUUAUUUCAAAACUAACUUGGGCUCAGCACCACGGAGACAAUGUACUGUGCAGUCUGGUUAGAAUAAUUCCCUUCCUUCACAUGCAUCUCAGACCUGACAUUUGACUCAUCCAAACCAAUCAGACCAUCCCAAGAUGGGAGAUGAAUCCAAAAUAAUCAUCACCUCUGGUGGUUGGUGCCUUUUAUUCACCUUAAAGAUUUUAAGAUAGACUUGCAUUUCCCAAUUUAUGGGCUCAAGGCCCAUUAUAAUGUGUUUGAAUGUGAGGGAAGAGAGGGAAGGAAGAAGGGAGAAAUCCUAGGAGGGACAAUUCUGGUUAAAAGGCAAAAUGGCAAAAUAGAUGGCAUACAUUUCAACAAAUUACUCUGUAAGUAGACCUUCAUGGCCACAUGGUUAGUUUAAAAGUUUCAAGGGAGGUUGUGGAAUUUCUCAUUUUGUAUCUAGGAGACAAGAGAGACUCCUUACUUCAAAUCCCUCUUCUAUUGAUGCCUGGAAUUUUCUUUAAAGGCAGAAAAUUUUCAUUCUACAAUUAGAGACAAAUUUUAAAGUAAGUGCCAACCUUGGAAGAGGAGACAAGAUUGAAAAUCUUACCAAAGUAUAAAUGACUGAUAUGAUUGGUUCCCCUUUUGAGAGCAAACUUUGGUAGCAGAGGACACCAGGGCAAUGGGGACAAUAGUACAAGGAAGGAAUACUACUGAGUGUUAAAAAGAGCAUAGUUUAGAAAUACUGAGUCUUUUUGGCAAAUUUCAAAUUUAUGGUACUGAUCACAGCAUACUACUUGAUAUUACUGACUUCUUUCAGCUCUAUGAUGACUGGUAAUAAACAGUAAUUGUGGUACACUGAUUAAUUCAGUCAUACCUCAUUAAUUCUUAUUAGGAGAAGAGCAGGGAAGUUUCAAGAGGUCAGUCCUAAUUAAGGAAAAAAUUCCAGUUAUCUAAUCCUUAAAGCUAUAUGGAUUGAUGACUUUAAAACUGUGCUAAACAAAUGUUGCCUGGCUCUGAUGAACACAUAAAAGUGUUGUUACUAGCCUAUCCCUUAAAGUGGGUGCUUUAAAAAUACUUUGGGGGCUUUUUCAAUAGUUUUUUAAAAUUAUGAACUCAAUAAUAAAGUGAAACAGAAUUGUCUGAAACUGGGAAUUUAAGUUGUGUACAGUUUGGGUUUUUUAAGAUGUACAUUAAAUUUGACACUGGA